AUACGUAGGUGGCAAGCGUUGUCCGGAUUUACUGGGUGUAAAGGGCGUGCAGCCGGGACGGCAAGUCAGAUGUGAAAUCCAUGGGCUUAACCCAUGAACUGCAUUUGAAACUGUCGUUCUUGAGUACCGGAGGGGCAAUCGGAAUUCCUAGUGUAGCGGUGAAAUGCGUAGAUAUUAGGAGGAACACCAGUGGCGAAGGCGGAUUGCUGGACGGCAACUGACGGUGAGGCGCGAAAGUGUGGGGAGCAAACAGGAUUAGAUACCCUGGUAGUCCACACUGUAAACGAUGGAUACUAGGUGUGCGGGGACUGACCCCCUGCGUGCCGGCGUUAACACAAUAAGUAUCCCACCUGGGGAGUACGAUCGCAAGGUUGAAACUCAAAUGAAUUGACGGGG
rnacentral:rRNA from 1 species